UACGGCAUACGUCGCGCCCGCGCACGCGCAGCCCAGCCCGCGAGCCGGGGGGCGGGGCGUCGGGCGCUUCCGCCUCACACGCCCCAGCCGGCCGGCGACCGGUUCUAGCUGGCUCGGGCCACCCGGACACCUUGGCAGCGGCGGCGAGGCGGGGACGCGGGGGCGGGAGCGGGCCGCAGGGAACAAUGGGGCUGGGGCGAGCGAUGAUGGUCGGGGCCCCCCGCCCGCAGUCCGUGUUUGGCCCAAGCCACCGGGUCCUUCCCGACCGCUCAGGUCAAGUCAAGGUAGCCGCCUGGCCGCGUUGGGCCGGGUCAGGCCAGGUUGGCAACCACGCUUUGUGCUCGCAAGAGCCACCGCAUGUCGCCCCCCCCCCCCAAGGGGGUCGUGCCGGCUUUCCGGCCAAGUUCCCGAGAACGGGGCUUCUGGCCAAAGUUGCGCGCACAGCCGCUCGGCACCUGUGAAGCCGGCGGAGCGGCUUCAGGACGCGCUCGGGCCGAGGCCGCUGCUUAAGGGUGCUGGGACAGGGUGCAGGGUGACACCGGCGUGAGGCGGGGCGGGUGCUCAGGAACCUUUACCGGCGCACGCCGGUUCCGAGCCUCGCCCAGGAGCGCCCGGCGUGCUCUCCCCACCCGCCGGUGCCCAAUCCAAUCAGCGCCUGGCAUCGCCUUAGCAACAGGCUAACAAACCGGGCUCCGCCUAUCGCCGGCUACUGAGGGCGUGGCCUCCGUGACCAGGCUAGUUUGAGAGCUACCACUUCAAGUCAUUGAAACUAGUCCAGAGUCCGGGCAUCCUGGGGAGGGGGAUCGCGGACCGCUCAGUUUUCUUUACCAGGUCAUCAGGAUGCAACUAACCAGGCUGCAGGGUUCAGAAAGGUUCAAGCGCAAACUUAGGCGCCUACUUUCAGCACGCAUCGAGACUGUCGCUGGGCGUCUGCAUUUCCUACCUACUAACUAAACGCUUGGAGAGACUAGAAAUGAGUUCCGGAGGCAACGCACCUCUGCGUAACUAUCACGGUCCUAUUCAAGAACCGGAUUUCACCUUAGCAUUUUCAGAAACGCUGUAACUCAAAGCAUCCUUCGCUAGCCUUAGCUCAAUGAGCACUGGCCUAGCCUGUGCAUUUUUAAUAUAAAAAAGGUAAAAUACGCCUCUAGUUCUCAAAAACCAACAUUCCAAUUGAAUUCUGCAUUAAAAAGGAGAAGCACAAAAAUUACAUAACCAGUUUUAACAUUAUAUUCUUCUUGGGCUGGGAAUUAAGUCAUCGCCACCACCUGACGCGUGUAACCAAUCUGCGAAGAGCACAGCAAGCGCCCCUCCUCACCACCCCCCAGAACUGGUCCGAAACAGGAUUGAACCGCUUCUAACAAAGGGUGGAAACUUAGAAAAACAAGCUAAGAGUCGCCUAGAUUUUCAUAUUGUAAACGUUUAAACAACAAAUUGGAAAUCUCAGGACCCCCUCUCUCUUUGACAACCCUGGAUCUCCCUCUUAGUAGCGAAAAUCAAAUCCCGGGUGAUGGGGACUUUGCAAUUCCAUCGGACUGGCUUGGGUUUCAUUGAAUGCACGGUACAAAGUUAGACAUGAUCCUUGCAGGAAAAUAAAAAUAAAAAUGAAAAAAGGGAAAC